UCAUUGCCUUAUGUGUAUUUAGUUGGUGUGCUCCCUUUGUUUAGUCUCAGUUCCUUGUCUCUCCCAUUGAGUGUCAUUGUGUCUUCCUAGAGAUUUUUUUGUUUUCCAAGUGUUUAGUUUUCCCGGUGUGUUGGAUUUAGUUUUUGGUCUUUGACUGCUGGUUGCAGGAUAUCUACUGCCUGCCUACCUCUGGACACGUUCUGCUGUUUGCAGCUGUGCAAGGUGGUUGAUUUCGGGCCUCAGCACAAGCAUCAGAGGUUAAACUUCAUCAUGGGGAAAAAUGGAAAAAAGAGCAGCCACAGUGACCUGUUAGGUGAAGAGCAGCAGGCGACUGGCUGCACACCUCCAAACUCUCGGCAGUAACCAACUUUCACUGAUCGCAGACGUAUGCCUUGUGCAGCAUAAAAUCAGAUCACGGUUGCUCACAGAAUGAUGGAAAAAGACCACUUAUUGCCUGACCUCUUUAUUAAAACUUAGUUUUGCUGCCCUUUGUAUUCUCUGACCUGUAGUACUAGAACGCAUUAGCUGUUACAACUUGGGGCACGGUCAAUACUAAAACGGUGUGCACCGUUUGGCUAUGGUUUCUGGGAAGAACGUGUUCUCCCAACGGUGUGAAAUGGCGCGCAACAAGCUUUGAGGUAUGUCUUCUCUUGUUUGGGUGGGUGCGAGA